CCCUUAGAUGUUCUGGGCCGCACGCGCGCUACACUGAUGCAUUCAACGAGUCUAAAACCUGCUCUGAUAGGGGUGGGUAAUCUUUUGAAUGUGCAUCGUGAUUGGGAUAGAUGAUUGCAAUUUUUCAUCUUCAACGAGGAAUGCCUAGUAAACGCAAGUCAUCAGCUUGCAUUGAUUACGUCCCUGCCCUUUGUACACACCGCCCGUCGCUCCUACCGAUUGAAUGAUCCGAUGAAUAACAUGGAUUGAGGAUUAUAGCAGGUUCGCCUGUCUUGAUCUUCGAGAAGUGAAGUAAAUCUUAUCAUUUAGAGGAAGGAGAAGUCGUAACA
rnacentral:rRNA from 1 species